GCCGUGGGCCUCGCCCUGCCCCGCGGCGGGAACGCGGCCGUGAGGGUGUGGGGUGUAGGUCCGCCAGGCCUGCAACGGCUGCCGAGGGUCGUGGGAUGCGCUCGCCGCGUCCCUGCUCAGGCGGAGGGAGCCCGGCCCGCCGCCAGGGUCUCGAGUCCGGGUCCAGGCAGGCGUGGAGGAGUAUGACAACUUUUCAACUUGAGUGCACACACUGUCCCCGGAAUCCCGCGUUCCAGGGAGGAAGCGCCUUUGACAGCGCGCGCCGGUUCGUGGGGCCCGACGGCGUGGGCCUGUGGUUGCGGACCUGGCGGAGAUGCGCGUUCGCUUCGAUUGUAGGCCAUUCCUUUUAGGAGCUGAGAAAGGAUCCGUUUUUACAGCAUUCUCGACCUGUGAUUCUUGGUGGGGGAAACUAGUUAUGUGGAUAAAAAUACAGUUAGCAAAAUAAAAAUGCCAAUUUUACAUUUCCUUAAAUAUCUCAUUAAUAAUUAGAAAACUUUG
rnacentral:lncRNA from 1 species